rnacentral:rRNA from 1 species
AUUGAACGCUGGCGGCAGGCCUAACACAUGCAAGUCGAGCGGAUGAAGGGAGCUUGCUCCUGGAUUCAGCGGCGGACGGGUGAGUAAUGCCUAGGAAUCUGCCUGGUAGUGGGGGAUAACGUCCGGAAACGGGCGCUAAUACCGCAUACGUCCUGAGGGAGAAAGUGGGGGAUCUUCGGACCUCACGCUAUCAGAUGAGCCUAGGUCGGAUUAGCUAGUUGGUGGGGUAAAGGCCUACCAAGGCGACGAUCCGUAACUGGUCUGAGAGGAUGAUCAGUCACACUGGAACUGAGACACGGUCCAGACUCCUACGGGAGGCAGCAGUGGGGAAUAUUGGACGAUGGGCGAAAGCCUGAUACAGCCAUGCCGAGUGUGUGAAGAAGGUCUUCGGAUUGUAAAGCACUUUAAGUUGGGAAGAAGGGCAGUAAGUUAAUACCUGGCUGUUUUGACGUUACCAACAGAAUAAGCACCGGCUAACUUCGUG